GACGAACCGUGCGAACGUUAUUCGGAAUCACUGGGCUUAAAGGGCGCGUAGGCGGGCGGACAAGUCGGGGGUGAAAUCGUUCGGCCCAACCGGACAAGGGCCCCCGAUACUGGCCGUCUCGAGGGAGGUAGGGGUCGAUGGAACUUCCGGUGGAGCGGUGAAAUGCGUAGAGAUCGGCAGGAACACCCAGGGGGAAACCAGUCGACUGGGCAUCUACUGACGCUGAGGUGCGAGAGCGUGGGGAGCGAACCGG
rnacentral:rRNA from 1 species